CCUACGGGAGGCAGCAGUGAGGAAUAUUGGUCAAUGGACGAGAGUCUGAACCAGCCAAGUAGCGUGAAGGAUGACUGCCCUAUGGGUUGUAAACUUCUUUUAUAUGUGAAUAAACUGUUCCACGUGUGGGAUUUUGUAUGUACCAUAUGAAUACGGAUCGGCUAACUCCGUGCCAGCAGCCGCGGUAAUACGGAGGAUCCGAGCGUUAUCCGGAUUUAUUGGGUUUAAAGGGAGCGUAGGUGGAUUGUUAAGUCAGUUGUGAAAGUUUGCGGCUCAACCGUAAAAGUGCAGUUGAAACUGGCAGUCUUGAGUACAGUAGAGGUGGGCGGAAUUCGUGGUGUAGCGGUGAAAUGCUUAGAUAUCACGAAGAACUCCGAUUGCGAAGGCAGUUCACUGGACUGCAACUGACACUGAGGCUCGAAAGUGUGGGUAUCAAACAGGAUUAGAUACCCGAGUAGUC
rnacentral:rRNA from 1 species